rnacentral:rRNA from 1 species
UACAGGAGGGUGCGAGCGUUGUUCGGAAUUAUUGGGCGUAAAGGGCGCGUAGGCGGCGCGGUAUGUCACCUGUGAAAUCUCCUGGCUCAACUGGGAGCUUGCAGGCGAAACUGCCGUGCUGGAGUGUGGGAGAGGUGCGGUGGAAUUCCCGGUGUAGUGGUGAAAUGCGUAGAUAUCGGGAGGAACACCAGUGGCGAAGGCGGCUUCCUGGCCUGUUCUUGGACGCUGAGGCGCGAAAGCUAGGGUAG